ACGGGAGACACACGGCGGGUGCUAACGUCCGUCGUGAAGAGGGAAACAACCCAGACCGCCAGCUAAGGUCCCAAAGUCAUGGUUAAGUGGGAAACGAUGUGGGAAGGCCCAGACAGCCAGGAUGUUGGCUUAGAAGCAGCCAUCAUUUAAAGAAAGCGUAAUAGCUCACUGGUCGAGUCGGCCUGCGCGGAAGAUGUAACGGGGCUAAACCAUGCACCGAAGCUGCGGCAGCGACGCUUAUGCGUUGUUGGGUAGGGGAGCGUUCUGUAAGCCUGCGAAGGUGUGCUGUGAGGCAUGCUGGAGGUAUCAGAAGUGCGAAUGCUGACAUAAGUAACGAUAAAGCGGGUGAAAAGCCCGCUCGCCGGAAGACCAAGGGUUCCUGUCCAACGUUAAUCGGGGCAGGGUGAGUCGACCCCUAAGGCGAGGCCGAAAGGCGUAGUCGAUGGGAAACAGGUUAAUAUUCCUGUAC
rnacentral:rRNA from 1 species